CAAUGAUUGAUUUCAUAUAAUAAAAUAAGGAAAACACCAAAUUCAGAGAUGAAAUAAUUCCAAACCUACAAAGAUGCUAGAACUAGUCAUACAAAGACUGGGGAAACAUACUGUAAAUGAUCCAAAAUACUAAAUCUUUAAUUAUCUGCACAAAGUCAAGACCCAAUUUAACUCAAACCACCUCAAACCAAUCCAUACAGCAAUUUGGCAAGGCAGUGUGCUGCUUCAUCUCUAGCAAGACUUAAUUCAUCUAGCCAAAAUUUGUUUGCUGGCAACGAAUCCAUAUUUCGAGCGGGUGCAUACCACUAUCCACGAUGAAGCAGCUGCAUAAGAAAACCAAAAGACCCCAUUGACAAGAUCUAAAUAUUACAAUCCCAACAGAAUAACAUCUGGUAGUCGAUCAGAAUUACAAGGCUGUAAAAAGAAUAGUAGAUAGAUACGCGAACAAGUAAAUUCAGCAGUUUCUAGUCUUGGCACCAUACUAUGAAUCCUAAAUUGCAUGCUCUCUAUACAUCGAACAGUAAGAUUUGGAGCACAAAAUUGAGAAUAGUGAACCAUCACAUCAAAGAUAUUAAACCAACGGAAGAAUUCAAAGUUUGGUGGAACUUAAACUACACAUACUGUUUUAAUUCACAGGUAACAAAUAAUAACACAGCAUACUAAAAUGGCUAAUUACCUGAAAAUGUCAAACUCAUAGUUUUUCCAUGCCCAAACUCGAUGCUCAAACGAGUCAGUUAAAAUACAUGAAGAAACGAGUGAAUAAAAAAGGCAAGAGCAUAUAAUAAACAAUGUAAUAAACCAUGAUUUCCCAUAUCCUAUGAACAGAGAAGCUCAUUAGAACAGAGAGGAAAAACUCAGCUGUAAAAAGCAACAGAAUUAGGAAUUCUCAAGAAGGAUACAGAGAGGAUACGGGUGGUGGAUAAAUUGCAAACACCAGCAUGCUGCUUGCUGCCAAAUUUGGUGAACGAACAAAAGCAAAGAACCACGCUUACUAUUAACCCACAUAUAGAAGGAUUUAGGAAAUCUGACGCAAAAUAAACUUACCCCGCAACUUCAAUUAUAGUUGUUCCAUGUUUUGGUAAGAUAAUUUGUACGAGCAAAGCAUAUCCAUAAGCAAGUUCAUUGCAAAGGUCAGUAAUCAUCCUGAUACAGAUUAUCUUCAGGACCUUCAGAAUUUCUUCUGGAUCCAAAAUCAUCAUCUGCACUUGCAUGCCUAUCCAUAUUUUUAGAAGCCAAAGUUUCAUUCUCCUCCAAAGCCUUUGAUGUACCAUCAAUCCCUUCAGCUUGCCUCAAUUCCUCCAUAUAUUC
rnacentral:lncRNA from 1 species